rnacentral:rRNA from 1 species
UACGUAGGGUGCAAGCGUUAAUCGGAAUUACUGGGCGUAAAGCGUGCGCAGGCGGUUGUGCAAGACCGAUGUGAAAUCCCCGGGCUUAACCUGGGAAUGGCAUUGGUGACUGCACGGCUAGAGUGUGUCAGAGGGGGGUAGAAUUCCACGUGUAGCAGUGAAAUGCGUAGAGAUGUGGAGGAAUACCGAUGGCGAAGGCAGCCCCCCUGGGAUAACACUGACGCUCAUGCACGAAAGCGUGGGGGAGCAAACAGG